GUAAACGAUGAGUGCUAAGUGUUAGGGGGUUUCCGCCCCUUAGUGCUGCAGCUAACGCAUUAAGCACUCCGCCUGGGGAGUACGACCGCAAGGUUGAAACUCAAAGGAAUUGACGGGGGCCCGCACAAGCGGUGGAGCAUGUGGUUUAAUUCGAAGCAACGCGAAGAACCUUACCAGGUCUUGACAUCCUUUGACCACUCUGGAGACAGAGCUUUCCCUUCGGGGACAAAGUGACAGGUGGUGCAUGGUUGUCGUCAGCUCGUGUCGUGAGAUGUUGGGUUAAGUCCCGCAACGAGCGCAACCCUUGAUUUUAGUUGCCAGCAUUUAGUUGGGCACUCUAAAGUGACUGCCGGUGCAAGCCGGAGGAAGGUGGGGAUGACGUCAAAUCAUCAUGCCCCUUAUGACCUGGGCUACACACGUGCUACAAUGGAUAGUACAAAGGGUCGCGAAGCCGCGAGGUGGAGCUAAUCCCAUAAAACUAUUCUCAGUUCGGAUUGUAGGCUGCAACUCGCCUACAUGAAGCCGGAAUCGCUAGUAAUCGUGGAUCAGCAUGCCACGGUGAAUACGUUCCCGGGCCUUGUACACACCGCCCGUCACACCACGAGAGUUUGUAACACCCGAAGUCGGUAGGGUAACCUUUAUGGAGCCAGCCGCCGAAGGUGGGACAGAUAAUUGGGGUGAAGUCGUAACAAGGUAGCCGUAUCGGAAGGUGCGGCUGGAUCACCUCCUUUCUAAGGAA
rnacentral:rRNA from 1 species